CAGUCUAACGGGGCUAACACGCAACGUAUCAUAGUAGUUUUGUCUACUGCAGAGCACUCGUCACUCUAGUGUUUCUCUUAUUUGUUAAUGAGUUUACUGUGUGGCUCCUGAAGAAGACAAACUGUGAGAGCAGGAGUUGUGUCUGUGGCCUUGCCUGUCCCGAGACUGAGGAUGUUGGCUGCUUUAGAAGGUAGGGGACAUAGAAAUAAAUGACGGAAUUUUUUUCUCUUCCUUCA
rnacentral:lncRNA from 12 species